UACGUAGGGUGCAAGCGUUUAAUCGGAAUUACUGGGCGUAAAGCGUGCGCAGGCGGUUAUGUAAGACAGAUGUGAAAUCCCCGGGCUCAACCUGGGAACUGCAUUUGUGACUGCAUAGCUAGAGUACGGUAGAGGGGGAUGGAAUUCCGCGUGUAGCAGUGAAAUGCGUAGAUAUGCGGGAGGAACACCGAUGGCGAAGGCAAUCCCCUGGACCUGUACUGACGCUCAUGCACGAAAGCGUGGGGGAGCAAACAGG
rnacentral:rRNA from 1 species